GGAAUAUUGGGCAAUGGGCGCAAGCCUGACCCAGCGACGCCGCGUGAGGGAUGAAGGCCUUCGGGUUGUAAACCUCUUUCAGUAGGGAAGAAGCGAAAGUGACGGUACCUAAAGAAGAAGCACCGGCUAACUAUGUGCCAGCAGCCGCGGUAAUACAUAGGGUGCAAGCGUUGUCCGGAAUUAUUGGGCGUAAAGAGCUCGUAGGUCGUUGGUCACGUCGAUUGUGAAAAUCUGAGGCUCAACCUCAGACCUGCAGUCGAUACGGACUAACUAGAGUGUGGUAGGGGAGACUGGAAUUCCUGGUGUAGCGGUGGAAUGCGCAGAUAUCAGGAGGAACACCAAUGGCGAAGGCAGGUCUCUGGGCCAUAACUGACACUGAGGAGCGAAAGCGCGGGGAGCGAACAGGGUUAGAUACCCUGGUAGUCCGCGCCGUAAACGGUGGGCACUAGCUGUGGGUCCCUUCCACGGGAUCCGCGACGCGGCAAACGCAUUAAGUGCCCCGCCUGGGGAGUACGAUCGCAAGAUUAAAACUCAAAUGAAUUGACGG
rnacentral:rRNA from 1 species